UACAGGGGGGGCAGGCGUUGUUCGGAAUUACUGGGCGUAAAGGGUUCGUAGGUGGCCAACUAAGUCAGACGUGAAAUCCCUCAGCUUAACUGGGGAACUGCGUCUGAUACUGGAUGGCUUGAGUGCAGGAGAGGAAUGCGGAAUUCCAGGUGUAGCGGUGAAAUGCGUAGAUAUCUGGAGGAACACCGGUGGCGAAGGCGGCAUUCUGGACUGUAACUGACACUGAGGAACGAAAGCCAGGGGAGCAAACGGG
rnacentral:rRNA from 1 species